UACGGAGGGUGCGAGCGUUAAUCGGAAUUACUGGGCGUAAAGCGUGCGCAGGCGGUUAUGUAAGACAGAUGUGAAAUGCCCGGGCUUAACCUGGGAACUGCAUUUGUGACUGCAUGGCUAGAGUUUGGCAGAGGGGGGUAGAAUUCCACGUGUAGCAGUGAAAUGCGUAGAGAUGUGGAGGAACACCGAUGGCGAAGGCAGCCUCCUGGGCCAGCACUGACGCUCAUGCACGAAAGCGUGGGGAGCAAACAGG
rnacentral:rRNA from 1 species